CCGGAUGCCGAUCUCGAAAACCUGUCCCAGUUCGGACUGGAGUCUGCAACCCGACCUCCACGAAGUUGGAUUCGCUAGUAAUCGCGCAUCAGCCAUGGCGCGGUGAAUACGUUCCCGGGCCUUGUACACACCGCCCGUCAAGCCAUGGGAGCCGGGGCGCCUGAAGUCCGGGACCGCGAGGACCGGCCUAAGGCGAAACUGGUGACUGGGGCUAAGUCGUAACAAGGUAAC
rnacentral:rRNA from 1 species